ensembl:snoRNA Gm24176 predicted gene, 24176
CCUGCCCCUAGAGACAUUGCAGAUGUGGCUGCUGUGUCACAUGUGGCUGAGAGAAGAGAGACUAUGUCUAUACUCAGUGUUCUGGCCUAACAAACGUCUAAAUGAAUAGUAGCCUAACUUU